UACGUAGGGGGCAAGCGUUGUCCCGAAUCAUUGGGCGUAAAGAGCGUGUAGGCGGCCCGAUAAGUCCGCUGUGAAAGUCCAGGGCUCAACCCUGGAAUGCCAGUGGAAACUGUCGGGCUGGAGUCCGGAAGAGGCGAGUGGAAUUCCUGGUGUAGCGGUGAAAUGCGCAGAUAUCAGGAGGAACACCGGUGGCGAAGGCGGGUCUCUGGGCCGAUACUGACGCUGAGGAGCGAAAGCGUGGGGAGCGAACAGG
rnacentral:rRNA from 1 species